rnacentral:rRNA from 1 species
AGUGAACGCUGGCGGUAGGCCUAACACAUGCAAGUCGAACGGCAGCACAGUAAGAGCUUGCUCUUACGGGUGGCGAGUGGCGGACGGGUGAGGAAUACAUCGGAAUCUACUUUUUCGUGGGGGAUAACGUAGGGAAACUUACGCUAAUACCGCAUACGACCUACGGGUGAAAGCAGGGGAUCUUCGGACCUUGCGCGAUUGAAUGAGCCGAUGUCGGAUUAGCUAGUUGGCGGGGUAAAGGCCCACCAAGGCGACGAUCCGUAGCUGGUCUGAGAGGAUGAUCAGGCACACUGGAAAUGAGACACGGUCCAGACUCCGACGGGAGGCAGCAGUGGGGAAUAUUGGACAAAGGGCGGAAGCCUGAUCCAGCCAUGCCGCGGGGGUGAAGAAGGGCUUCGGAUUUUAAAGCCCUUUUAGUUGGGAGGAAAAACAGGAAGUUAAAACCCCCCUGUUUCGAAGGGACCAAAAGAAUAAGAAACGGCCAACUUUGGU